GCAAACUUGGUCAUUUAGAGGAAGUAAAAGUCGUAACAAGGUUUCCGUAGGUGAACCUGCGGAAGGAUCAUUACCAAUCUUUAGCGGGCCUUGGCUUGUCCAUGGUCUCGCAAAACUCUGUAUUUAAAACCCGCUCUUUUAAAUUUUGAAUCAUAUGUUAUCAUAUUAUAAUUAAGAUCACUUUCAACAACGGAUCUCUUGGCUCUCAGAGACAGGCAAACUUGGUCAUUUAGAGGAAGUAAAAGUCGUAACAAGGUUUCCGUAGGUGAACCUGCGGAAGGAUCAUUACCAAUCUUUAGCGGGCCUUGGCUUGUCCAUGGUCUCGCAAAACUCUGUAUUUAAAACCCGCUCUUUUAAAUUUUGAAUCAUAUGUUAUCAUAUUAUAAUUAAGAUCACUUUCAACAACGGAUCUCUUGGCUCUCGCAUCGAUGAAGAACGCAGC
rnacentral:misc_RNA from 1 species